AUUGAACGCUGGCGGCAGGCCUAACACAUGCAAGUCGAACGGUAGCACAGAGAGCUUGCUCUCGGGUGACGAGUGGCGGACGGGUGAGUAACGUCUGGGAAACUGCCCGAUGGAGGGGGAUAACUACUGGAAACGGUAGCUAAUACCGCAUAACGUCGCAAGACCAAAGUGGGGGACCUUCGGGCCUCACACCAUCGGAUGUGCCCAGAUGGGAUUAGCUAGUAGGUGGGGUAAUGGCUCACCUAGGCGACGAUCCCUAGCUGGUCUGAGAGGAUGACCAGCCAUUCUGGAACUGAGACACGUUCCAGACUCCUACGGGAGGCAGCAGUGGGGAAUAUUGCACAAUGGGCGCAAGCCUGAUGCAGCCAUGCCGCGUGUAUGAAGAAGGCCUUCUGGUUGUAAAGUACUUUCAGCGGGGAGGAAGGCGGUGAAGUUAAUAACUUCACCGAUUGACGUUACCCGCAGAAGAAGCACCGGCUAACUCCGUGCCAGCAGCCGCCGUAA
rnacentral:rRNA from 1 species